UACAGGGAUCCGACCAGUGUUGGUCGAUUCACUGGGCGUAAAGGGUGCGUAGGUGGUUGCGCAAGUCUGAUGUGAAAUCUCCGGGCUCAACCCGGAAAUGGCAUUGGAAACUGCGUGGCUAGAGGGUUGGAGGGGGGACUGGAAUACUUGGUGUACAGUGAAAUGCGUAGAUAUCAAAGUGGAACACCAGUGGCGAAGGCGAGUCCCUGGACAACACCUGACACUGAGGCACGAAAGCUAGGGGAGCAAACAGG
rnacentral:rRNA from 1 species